AAGCCAGUUGCAGGCGCGCAGGGUCUACCACCCACCACAGCAAUGGCGCAUUGGCGCUUGCCCAUGGCCAUGGGUCUACCACUGUUGUUGUUGUUGCGAAGAAGAACCCCGGCCACGAGUCGCAUUGUGGGUGCCUCGACUCGACCGCGCCAAGCUGCCUGGUGUGUGCGGCAUGCUAAUGCUUAUAGCACGCGGCAGACACGCACGCCAAGUGUUCGACGAAACGCCGGCCGGUGGCAGUGCCAAUCAGCCACCAUGUCUUGGGUGGCGCUAUGCGCCCUGCCAGUCUGCCCGUGCUGUUCCGCUGUGCCUCUACAGUGGGAUGGCCACUCGGAUUCCAGCAUCUCAAUGCUUUAGGACCAAUUAAUUUCGUGUUACCUGACAUGACUGUAUCUUUCUGGUUGGCGUGCCGGGCUUCAUGUCCUCCACUAUGCCAGCACAGUGUCCGUGCCGUGGGCAUCACCCCGUCAUCAUCCAAGCUCCACACACCACACUGCUGCUUCCUCACCGUGGACUGGAGAUGCCAAAUAAAUCUAAUCCACUGUCUUUCAAGUGGCGAGCAGCAUCCUUUUCCAGAGUAUAAAUUGCACAGCAUCCGGGGGGCUGGAUGAUCUCGACUGGAAUCGCCUUUUUUUUCUUCUCAUCUUCCUCGACAUCAGAAUUCACAGUUCACCUCGCCUGGUUACCAGCCUAGCUCGGUUCUUCAAGGGUUAGAUGAAAGUACCUACGGUUUUCUUCUGUGCACAUGACAGAAUGCUGACCACUGCUGAUAUAUGCCACUAAACCAUGUGGAGCUUUUCAAUUGUGCCAUCACUCGGAGGAACGGUUGAAAGAUGCUUUUCAUCGGCAGGCAGCAAUAUCUAUCUGCCUUGACUAACUGCUGUUUCUGCGCCCCCCUAUGAGGAUCUAUUUCGCAACAAGUGCGCUCCGCACAAAGUGGUAGUGACUUCCAAGAACUUUGCAUUUCCCCUGGCCACGGUGAUCUAAUUGGUGAUAAAGUGGAGUAUUUCCACCAGUGAACUUGUCCUUUCAAAAGUAGAAUCAUGUCACUGUUUUGCUGGUCUAUGCUAUGGCAACUUUCUAGCACGGAAGGUUGUUUUCUCUUACUCGGUUCAAAGCGUAAGAAAAGCAAGGGCAUCAAAAGUUUGCCUCAUCUUUUGGUAGCAACGCGGGAAUUGAAAGGAGGUACUAUCUUGGGAUCAAAAGUUGGCAAACGGGAAAGGAGAAAAGAAAAUUUCUGGAAUGGGGUUCUAGAAGUUUUGGAUUUGAUUGCCUCAAUCCUGUCUUUCUUAAGGCAAGUGAUCUGUCCAGAUCACAUGAGCUGUCUACACUCUAUUGCUUCAUUGUCAGAUCAAUUUUACUCUUGAUUAUGCA